rnacentral:sRNA from 1 species
AUUUUAUUGGACAUACAGUAUUAAGUAUUUUUUCGUCGGCUGUGUUACACACGCGCCACCCUCUGAAACCCGACUUUAAUGAAGUUAAUUAAACACCCACUCACUGUAAGACACGUGUAGAAAUCUUCUAAACCCUUUUUUGACAAAACAUCAUGUCUCUCCAUUUUGGAAAGGAAAAACGAAAGAUUAAAGAAAUUAAAAGAAGGAAAAAAACCACAAUCUCCGUCAAUCUUUGAACCCUUUUCUCGCUCCUAUCUACCAUCCUCUCUCUUUAUAUAUCGACUGUUUCGCCAUUAGAGUCUAUUCAAAGAAGUCGAAAACACACACCCUUAUGGCCUUAUCUAACAACCAAAUCUCCGAGAAUUGGAAUUUGAAAGAUCAGUGAAUUUCUUAACUUUUUUUUAUUAGGGUUUUGGAGAGAUCUGUGAGAAGAAAGUUGAGUUCUUAAUCCAUCUAGGUUUUUUUGAAUUAGUUGCUAGAAGAGGGAGAGAUGGUGAUUGAGGAAUGCAACAGAGAAAACUGACAGAAGAGAGUGAGCACAUGCAGGCACUGUUAUGUGUCUAUAACUUUGCGUGUGCGUGCUCACCUCUCUUUCUGUCAGUUGCCUAUCUCUGCCUGCUUGACCUCUCUCUCUCUCUCUCUCUCUCAAAUUUGGCUUAGACAUUUCUUUCUUUGAUCGCUUCUUAUCAUCUCGUCUGUUGUGCACUUUUGCUAGUGAUGUGUAUAUGACAAAUGCGUUUUGAUAAUAAUUAGUUGUGUGUUUUUCUAUGUUAUGUGGAAGUGGGUGCUUGCUUACGCAUAAGAAUGUUUGUUUUAAGGCUUUUUUUUUAGAAGUUUGGUGGAGAUAAGCUCAGAUUUCUAUAGUUGGGUUUAUAAUACUAAUAAAUGUAAUUUGGUUAAGUGUGCUGUAAUGUUGAAUUCUUCUAGUGCGAUCUAGGGAAAGCGCGAGUUUUGAUGAUCAUGAACCCCAACCGAUAACAAAUGGGGAGACACAUGGCUUUUGAAAGAUGAUAUCAAAUAUCAUGUGGGAAGACAUUUCAAGGAUAUAUCUAAUUCAAGGUUUAUCGGAAGUGUACAGAUACUUACACAUUUGUAAGCAUGGUGGAUUAAGUGGCUAGACAAGGAGCCAAAGAUUGGCAAAAUCACUAUGAUCAGAAUCCACAGAUGCACCAGCACUUCCUCUCGUCUCUUUGCAUAUCAUAUAAACCGAGAACAUUUCUCAGGUAUUUCGUCUCUACAUUUUUAGGCAAGAACUUGAUUCAUGUUGAUGCAUGGUGUCAGUCAAAAGGUGUGUGUGUGUUGUGCUCUCCAAUUGAUGUGUCUCCCAUUUUGUUUCAUUUGGGUUUUUAAUCCACAUUAUAUGCUAGAACCUGUAACCAAGCUUAUUGAUCAGGACUUAAUUUAAUCAUCUUAUAUGGUGAGUUACAGUUCUAGCAUCUACUUGUUUCAUGUAUUGUUUAGUCAAGAACUUGAUUCAACUUGAUUCAUCUGACUGUAAGAUCGAGAUAUCAAAAGGGGUAAAAUAAGUAACAACGCAGCCCAUAUCCAACAUUACCAUAUAUUGUUCAUCGAUAUUACUAUUUUUGCCCUAGGUCUAUUAAGCUAAACCAGUUCAUGCGUUUUCUCUAAUCUAUUCCUUUGAAACAACAUAUUUUAAUGGGGUAAUAGAUUGUUAUCUUUACAUAUGUUAUUGUAUGAACUAAUUUUUGCAUGUCAAUCAUGUUGGUAGCAUCUUUUCCUAAGCUUAAAUUUAAG